rnacentral:rRNA from 1 species
GAUGAACGCUGGCGGCGUGCCUAAUACAUGCAAGUCGAGCGAACGGACGAGAAGCUUGCUUCUCUGAUGUUAGCGGCGGACGGGUGAGUAACACGUGGAUAACCUACCUAUAAGACUGGGAUAACUUCGGGAAACCGGAGCUAAUACCGGAUAAUAUUUUGAACCGCAUGGUUCAAAAGUGAAAGACGGUCUUGCUGUCACUUAUAGAUGGAUCCGCGCUGCAUUAGCUAGUUGGUAAGGUAACGGCUUACCAAGGCAACGAUGCAUAGCCGACCUGAGAGGGUGAUCGGCCACACUGGAACUGAGACACGGUCCAGACUCCUACGGGAGGCAGCAGUAGGGAAUCUUCCGCAAUGGGCGAAAGCCUGACGGAGCAACGCCGCGUGAGUGAUGAAGGUCUUCGGAUCGUAAAACUCUGUUAUUAGGGAAGAACAUAUGUGUAAGUAACUGUGCACAUCUUGACGGUACCUAAUCAGAAAGCCACGGCUAACUACGUGCCAGCAGCCGCGGUAAUACGUAGGUGGCAAGCGUUAUCCGGAAUUAUUGGGCGUAAAGCGCGCGUAGGCGGUUUUUUAAGUCUGAUGUGAAAGCCCACGGCUCAACCGUGGAGGGUCAUUGGAAACUGGAAAACUUGAGUGCAGAAGAGGAAAGUGGAAUUCCAUGUGUAGCGGUGAAAUGCGCAGAGAUAUGGAGGAACACCAGUGGCGAAGGCGACUUUCUGGUCUGUAACUGACGCUGAUGUGCGAAAGCGUGGGGAUCAAACAGGAUUAGAUACCCUGGUAGUCCACGCCGUAAACGAUGAGUGCUAAGUGUUAGGGGGUUUCCGCCCCUUAGUGCUGCAGCUAACGCAUUAAGCACUCCGCCUGGGGAGUACGACCGCAAGGUUGAAACUCAAAGGAAUUGACGGGGACCCGCACAAGCGGUGGAGCAUGUGGUUUAAUUCGAAGCAACGCGAAGAACCUUACCAAAUCUUGACAUCCUUUAACAACUCUAGAGAUAGAGCUUUCCCCUUCGGGGGACAAAGUGACAGGUGGUGCAUGGUUGUCGUCAGCUCGUGUCGUGAGAUGUUGGGUUAAGUCCCGCAACGAGCGCAACCCUUAAGCUUAGUUGCCAUCAUUAAGUUGGGCACUCUAAGUUGACUGCCGGUGACAAACCGGAGGAAGGUGGGGAUGACGUCAAAUCAUCAUGCCCCUUAUGAUUUGGGCUACACACGUGCUACAAUGGACAAUACAAAGGGCAGCGAAACCGCGAGGUCAAGCAAAUCCCAUAAAGUUGUUCUCAGUUCGGAUUGUAGUCUGCAACUCGACUACAUGAAGCUGGAAUCGCUAGUAAUCGUAGAUCAGCAUGCUACGGUGAAUACGUUCCCGGGUCU